CAAAGAGAGAAAAAGAAAGUUCUGUAAUCCCAAGUAAAAGCAAACUAGAUUUUAACCCGCGGUAUACCGCGGGAUGAUUUAUUUUUUAAAAGUAAUAUAUAUUAAAACUUGCAAAUUUUAUUUUUAUAAAA
rnacentral:sRNA from 1 species